rnacentral:rRNA from 1 species
GACGAACGCUGGCGGCGUGCUUAACACAUGCAAGUCGAACGGAAAGGCUCCAGCUUGCUGGCGUACUCGAGUGGCGAACGGGUGAGUAACACGUGGGUGAUCUGCCCUGCACUUCGGGAUAAGCCUGGGAAACUGGGUCUAAUACCGGAUAGGACCGCACUUUGGUGUGUGUGGUGGAAAGGUUUUUCUGGUGUGGGAUGAGCUCGCGGCCUAUCAGUUUGUUGGUGGGGUAAUGGCCUACCAAGACGGCGACGGGUAGCCGGCCUGAGAGGGUGGACGGUCACAAUGGGACUAAGAUACGUCCCAGACGCCUACGGGGGGCAGCAGGGGGGAAUAUUGCACAAUGGGGGAAACCCGGAUGCAGCGGCGCCGCGGGGGGGAUGAAGGCCUUCGGGUUGAAAAAUCCUUUCGCUAGGGACGAAGCAUUUUGUGGCGGUACCUGGAGAAGAAGCACCGGCUAACUACGUG